CUGGUGAAUUAUGAUUAGAUUUUAUUAAAGGAGUCCAUUUUUCUACUUGACAAGUAUUAUGGGGUUUCUAUGUGUGGCGAGGAGCGAGAGAUGUGGCCUUAUUUCGCAUGCUGUGUGAGUGGGUUGAUUUGGAGUCACUUUGGUUGAGGCAAGGAGGACAAUUCUUGGGCUAUUUCUGUACUGUUUGAUUGAUUUGAUGGGAAAGAAGAGGUUAUUAGGGGUUGUCUAAUGGUAAUUUGAAGCAGUAUAGCCAGUGUUGUUUAACUUUUUAACUGAAUGCAUCUCAUAUUUCUUCAUUUGCACACAUGGAGGGAGCUUUAAAAAUUUCUUCUGGUUUUUGAAAUAUUAUUACCCAAAAAGCUGUCUUGGAUUGGCUGAGAAUCCCUUAGUGUCAUUCUGCUCUUAAAGUUCUUUCAUCUAUCCAUAAAAGGGGGCUGUCUUGGUCAUACAAAUGAAGAUUGCCUUUUCAAAGGUGAAAUCCAUUUGGAGGUUUCUUCCAUAUGCUGUCCAUGUUUAAAAUUUUAAUGUUUGAAUUAUUUUCAAAGGAGAGGCGAUGUUGUUGCAACUAAUGUAAAAGAGCUGAAAAAAGUUUGUGAUACUCUGUUGCUUCGCAUUUGGACUGAGGAAAUUUGGGCCCUGAUGUGUGCCCGGAGGAGUAUACUGGGUGGAAGCAGCACCUUAUGGAAUUGUUAUCCAACAGUUCAGACAUUCAAAUGCUUUGUUAGCUCGGCUGCCUGAGAUUGUUCAUGCUGUCAAUAAUCUUGAAUUCAGCUGUUGACUGAAUAAUCUUGAGUUCGACUAUCAAUCAAGCUGAUGCAUUGAUAGUUUUGUGCCCCUUUGGGAUGUUUUUGACUAGAAGUUCGUUAACUCACUAGUUGAUGUCUUUUGGCACAAGCAUGAUGACAGCCCAAAAGGCCCUUGGAUAAAAGUGGAUUCUCAAUGUUAUUGAAGCAUUGAGGGAGCAAUAAUUAUAGGGAAUGCCUACCCCGCAAACCCCCUACCGCACAA